CAAGGUCUCUGAGGACGCCGUGCUGAGUUUCUCAAGCCCACAAACGUAUGUUCCAGGAGUUGUGAGGGGGGCCUGGAAUCUGUCUAAGGACAGUGGUACUGUCCCCUAAAGUGGUAGCUGAGGGAGCUUCCAAGGUCCAGACUGCAGGAGACCGGGAGGCCAGGUGGUCCUUCAAAGGGCCCCUUUCCCUGGGGCAGCCAGAGGGGCAGCCAGGCCCAUGGGAAGACGUCUAGGAGGCAGGUCUGGGCUCUACCUUUGGGAUCCCCUGGAAGCAAAUCCUGAGACAAGGAUCAGUGACAGGAUAAAUCACCGGGGAAGCGAGCAGAGCGGGAGGCAGCUGUCAUGGAGCUGACCAGGCAGGAGGGCUGCUGGGAGCUCCCAGGAUGCACAGCAGAGCUCUCCCACCCAGCGGGCAGGGACCCGGUGUCCUUAAGCUUCUUUCCAUCUGGGACAACAUGAACGGCCAUAGGUGUCCCCUGAUUCUUUUUUCUUUUCCCAUAUCUCCCAUGGCUGGAUAAUACACUUAUUUUUACAUAGGCAAACUCAGAAUUCCUGCGUGCCAGUUGUUGCUGGGCCCUGCAGAGGGAGAAGGCUGAUGGUCUUUCUCCAGCAACUGCCAAGCCUUGGGUGAUCAUGCUGAAAAGACCCCUUUGUAAAGCUUUGUCAGAGUAAAUCUUAGGUUCUCUAUAUUUGCCUGGACCACGACAUGGGCUGGGCCACAGUGUGUGUUUGAUUCCUUUUCUGGAAGUGCUGGAAACCUCCAAAGUACAAAAUUUAUUGUUAGGCUUAGAAAGAAAGGGAAUUGCUGGUUGGGCUCCAGUGCUGAGCUUCUUUCCGGGACCUUGGCACAGGUGCAAGAGCCAGCCAGGGGCCCUUGCUGGUGAAGUUCUCAAUGAACCCAAGGCUGAGUUAUGCUAAUUGUUUAAGGUUUAACAGAUGAAUUAAAAGUCAUCCCAAACAUCCAGUGAGCCAAAGCAACGUUGACCAAAGGUUAAGUACCUAGAUGGGGGUGAUGGCUGCCGAAGCCAGGGACCCAAAGAAGAGGCUAACACAGUUGGAGAGGGCUGGAGGAAAGGAGGCAGAGAUGACGAAAAGUUUAGUAUCUGCAUUCUUUUUGGGGAAAAGAAAAGAAGCUCAAUGGCUGAAGUAAGGACUUUUGUGAAGAUCCAGGGUGGGAAUUGGGAGAUUUGUGGAAAUCUGGAAUCAGGAGAUAUAACUCAUUAAGAAAAAGACAACUGUUGAGAGCCACAGCCGAAGGGGCCCCAGCAAACUUCCAGCUGCCAGCCAACUUCCAGCUGCCAGCCAAUGAUUGGCUCACAGCGCCCCAGCAAACUUCUAGCUGCCAGCUGAUUGGCUCCUCUACGGUGAUGCUCAUUGGGCUGUUUCCCCGCCCUUUCAGACCACGGAGCUGCUCAUUGGGGGACUUUUUAUGGCUCCGCCCAUGCGACCCAGCCAAUUGGCCUCAAGAGCAGGAGGAGUGGGGGGGAGGGGUUGAGAGGCUUGUGGGAAGCCGGUGGUGGCAGUUGGGCUCUGA
rnacentral:lncRNA from 1 species